UCAAACCGAAAUCGAAUAUAUACACUGCGAUGCAAUCACACACUUACAACACCCAAUUUUUCUAUUUACACCUCUAGACACACAGGUCCGUGUCUAACCACCUAAAUGUUCCGAUCCUACCUAAGCAGUCGGAUGAACCAUGUCUACCCUAAUCUCUCCAUUGUUUUUGCACAUGUAUGCACAUAUAAUCAGUGUGUAAGAAUGCAUGGAGAUGAAAUAAAAGGGUACGGUGUAGGUGUGGUACCAAACUAUUGAUGAGUCUGGCCAUUCAGGAUUAUUAAAGAGUGGUAAAAUGUGGUAAAGAAAAUCCUGAAUGUGUAUAUGGUGUACCGUUUCCUGAUGUUGAUUCCUGGUCAAAAGAAAUUAAAUUCAUUAAUGGUCAAAAAUAUUUGAGUCGAUUACAAUUCACCGAGACUUGAUAAAAGAUUUAAGGAGAGGUUGCUUGGUCAAGUGGUUCCUUGGUUUGUCUGCGCUAACAGUCCUGAAAAAUGGUCAAUAUGAAAUGUAAUGCACAACACACAAGGAAAUAGUCUAAUAAUCA
rnacentral:lncRNA from 1 species